AAGUCGUAACAAGGUCUCCGUUGGUGAACCAGCGGAGGGAUCAUUACCGAGUUAUACAAAAACUCCUAAACCAUUGUGAACCUACCUUUUACGUUGCCUCGGCAGGCCCGCGCCUACCCUGGAGCUACCCUGUAGCUACCCUGGAGGUGUGCCAUAGGGCCUGCCGGUGGUCUACCAAACUCUUAUUAUUACGAAACAGUCUGACAAUACCAAACAAAAUACGUUAAAACUUUCAACAACGGAUCUCUUGGUUCUG
rnacentral:misc_RNA from 1 species